rnacentral:rRNA from 1 species
UACGGAGGGUGCAAGCGUUAUCCGGAUUCACUGGGUUUAAAGGGUGCGUAGGCGGCGCGGUAAGUCGGGUGUGAAAUCUUGGAGCUUAACUCCGAAACUGCAUUCGAUACUGCCGUGCUUGAGGACUGGAGAGGAGACUGGAAUUUACGGUGUAGCGGUGAAAUGCGUAGAUAUCGUGAGGAACACUAGUGGCGAAGGCGAGACUCUGGACAGUUCCUGACGCUGAGGCACGAAGGCCAGGGGAGCAAACGGG